CUUGUUUCGCUCCCUCGCACUCUGCAACUACCCCGCUCUCUCUCUCUCUCUCUCUCUCUAAUUCUCUAGUUCUGUCUUCCUCGGGGUCGCUGCCUCAUCUCUUCUUUGCUUUUUUCACCCAGCACUGCAAGUCUCUCUCUCUGAAUUCCAUUGUCCGUCGCCAUGAGGGAAGAGAAGGGCGUGUUGGUGUGUCGCAGCAUCCCGAGCCUUAGGGCCUCCCAUUUCGCCGGCGACGCGGCGACGGCGGAGGACCAGGGGCCGCCAUUGUGGAGCCAGUCGCGGAUGUGCCUGAGGAGGGGGGACUCGGGCGGUGGCGGCGGUCUCGGUGGGUUCGCCUCGCUCUCGGUGGCGGAGAAGGAAGAGCGUCGGCGACGGCGGGAUUGCGAGCCGACGCCGGCUCAGCUCCUGAAGCAUCCGCUCGCGAUGGUGGCUUAUGUACCGAGAGACGUGGCGCUGUUCCUCGCCGGGGCCAUCGCAGGAGGCGCUGCGAAGACCGUCACGGCUCCGCUUGACCGUAUUAAGCUUCUUAUGCAGACUCAUGGGGUGCGAGUUGGACAACAAAGUGCAAAGAAGGCUAUUGGUUUUGCCGAGGCUAUCACAAUGAUAGGCAAAGAAGAAGGAAUAAAAGGUUAUUGGAAGGGCAACCUCCCGCAGGUGAUAAGAAUCAUUCCAUACAGCGCCGUCCAGCUUUUUGCUUAUGAAUUUUACAAGAAACUCUUUAAGGGAAAAGAUGGUGAACUCUCUGUUGUUGGAAGACUAAUGGCUGGUGCUUGUGCUGGCAUGACUUCUACCUUUGUCACCUACCCAUUGGAUGUCCUACGUUUGCGCUUAGCAGUGGAAACCGGACAUAGAACGAUGUCACAGGUUGCCCUGAGCAUGCUGAAAGAGGAAGGGCUGGCAUCAUUUUGCAAAGGUCUAGGACCUGCUCUAAUAGGAAUAGCUCCUUACAUUGCAGUGAACUUCUGCGUGUUUGAUUUGAUGAAAAAGGCAUUGCCAGAGGAAUAUCAAAAGAGAACUGAAGCAUCUCUCGUAACAGCAUUGCUCUCAGCUGGCCUUGCCACAAUAACGUGUUAUCCCCUAGACACUGUCAGAAGACAAAUGCAGAUGAAGGGGGCACCUUACAAGACAGUUCUGGAUGCUUUUCCAGGUAUUAUUGAACGGGAUGGAGUGAUUGGCUUAUAUCGAGGGUUUUUGCCAAAUGCAUUGAAAAACUUACCAAACAGCAGGUUACUGUGAUUCCUCUUGCCUCCUCUUCUUCCUGAAUUCCUGCUCAAAGUUUCUCCUCCAUUGUGUUUUGUGAAUUCUGAGACUAGGGAAAUGCGUUAAAUUUCAAUUGGAAUUGUCAAUUUUUCAGCUUUGUUGGCCUUAUAUGGCUGGCCUAUAAAUGAUGACAACUGCAUGAUGACAACUGCAUGAAAGCAUCAACUGGGGUUUUAUUAGAAUCUUAAACAUCUGUGCUUUGCUUCUUCUGUAAACUCAUUAACUUGAGAGAAUUUUCUUAUCUGUGAGGAGAUGCAGACAAGUAAAGUGAUUUUCUUUGAUGGAAUUAUUCAUGCCCUUUUUGUUUUUUGUAUUGUUGUUUUGUUUUUCCUUUGUGUGUUGUCUAGAAGAUAGCUAUUUGAAGUUCGAAGGGCUAAAUGUUAUUCGGCUGCUUCUCCUUUGUCCUAGUUGUUCUCCCACUCCUAUGAACCCAACCCAAGUUCUUGGUUUCAGCCAUUUUUCAUAUAGCAUUAGGCUUACGACAUAUGACACAGUCAAACGCUUUAUUGCUGCCAGCGAAAAAGAGCUUGAGAGGAUUAUGGAGGAAAACCGCCAGAAAC